UGCGUAGGCGGAAUAUUAAGUCAGUGGUGAAAUCCUGCGGCUCAACCGUAGAACUGCCAUUGAUACUGAUAUUCUUGAAUGUAGUUGAGGUAGGCGGAAUGUGUAAUGUAGCGGUGAAAUGCUUAGAUAUUACACAGAACACCGAUUGCGAAGGCAGCUUACUAAACUAUGAUUGACGCUGAGGCACGAAAGCGUGGGGAGCGAACAGGAUUAGAUACCUGGUAGUCC
rnacentral:rRNA from 1 species